UAUUAGAUUAAUAUUCUUCAAACCCAAAGAAUAUGGCGGUGUUUUUUCAUAAUUAGAGGAACCUGUCUAUUAAUUCGAUAAUCCACGAAAAUCUUACUUAAAUUUAAAAAAAUUAAAAGCUUGCAUACCGUCGUUUGAAAUAAUAUUCGAAAAUCUUAUUAUCACAUACCAAUAUAAAUUUAAGGUCAGAUCAUGGCGCAGCUAUAUUUAAGGUUAAAUUGGUUACAUUCUAAAAUCUAUUGACAGAAAAUAAAAUGAAAAAUUAUUUUAAGCCGAAUCUAAACGUAAUUUAACAAGUUAUAAACUUUUAAUGAAUACUACAAAACAUGCACAUAUCGCCCGUCACUCUCA
rnacentral:rRNA from 1 species